UAACUGUGUGCUUUUAUCAUUAAAUAUUAAAAGCAGUUAAGAUCACUGGUUUCAGGUGAACUUUCAGUUUAUUUUAGCCACACCUUAUCUUAAAUGACUGAUACUUACCACCUCUGGUCUUCUACAGUUCUCUGAUUUAUCAGUUGGAAAACAGAAAUUCUGUUCAAGACUAAUUUCUGGUAACUGUUAGAAGUUGAUUAUUGAUUGAUCCCCCAAUACUUCCUAAAAGAAUUUAAUUCAAAUUUACUCAGCGUAAAUCUGGAGAAUAAGAUGAAAAAACUACGUAUAAUGAAAGGAAAGGGGAAAGGCAAACUAUCAAGAAAUUCUGGUUACAAAAGAGCUGCAAUUGAAUGCAAAGCUUACUUCUUCAUUCAUAGCAACCAGGCAAAAGAGGAAACAGACUAUAGGUUACAUAGCCCUAAUUAUCUAAGAGGCUGUGAGAUCAUCAGCCCAAAUACAGACAAAAUUUCCCAGCUCACUGCUCCAAGAGGGAUUUGACCCAGCUGCUGCUGACAAAAGUGCCCUGAGUACAAUGAUCAAAAGCUUUCAAUCCAGAAGGCCUAGAGUCAAAUCCUAGCUCUGUCCUUACUGUGUUCCUUAACAAUUGGAGACAUUUCCACUAACCUCUGUUUCCUCAUCUGUUAAAAGUGGAUAGUAAUAAUAUAACUUAACUCAUAAUUUUUUUUAAAAAAGGAUUAAAUGAGGUAAUAAUAUGGUAAUAAUAUAACUGAUCAAAUCAAGGCUGAGAACAGCUCUGUUCCCUAGUAAGGGCUAUCUUGUGUUUCGUAAUUAAACAAGUAAAUAUUCUGAAUGGCAGUUUCACAAAGGACAGUCUUAGUUCUGUGUGAUUGCGGUUAAUGUAGUUAAUUAUUUUAGUGACAUAAAAGCUAACGGUUGCUGCAUACCUUAUGUUUCUAUUGAUUUCCUUCCCAAUAUUUUAAUCCCUUUCUUUUUUAAAGGAAAAAUCAGAAAAGUAAACAUAUUCUCUGCCAUGUGGAUCAGAAUGUCCAUAUCUCAUGCUUGCUCCUCAAAAUAUAAUCCUCCAAAUAAAGUGUCAGGUUCAGAUUUUUUUAUAUAGACCUCAGCCAACUGAAAAUUAAGAGUAUCUAUGUCACUGAAAAACCUUACCUACCUACAAACAGCCAAAUUACCCUACCAGAGAUGAAAAAUUUACGAUAAUUUACAAAUAUCCUCCCCCACUCCCAAAGAAUAAAAACUAUCCAAUUUUUGUUUGUUUUUCUUUGUUGGAAUUCAUUAAGAUAGAAACUUUUGACUUAAGAAUUUUUAAUGAAAUCAAAGAUAGAAAAAAUCAAUAAACAAAACUUUUUGUAUAAGACAAUAUAUUCUAGCACAUCUUUUUUUUUUUUUUUUUUUUUUUGUCUUUUUAGGCUCGCACUUGAAGCACAUGGAAGUUCCCAGCCUAGGGGUGGAAUCAGAACUGUAGCCACAGGCCUACACCACAGCCACAGCAACACCACAGCUCAUGGCAAUGCUGGAUCCUUAACCCACAGAGCAAGGCCAGGGAUUGAACCUGUGUCCUCAUGGAUGCUAGUCAGAUUCAUUUCUGCUGAGCCACGAUAGGAACUCCUAUCACAUCUUUUUUCACAUGCAUAUAAAUACAUGCUUUCUAAUUUAACUUAGGUUAACUUAUUUAGCAUCUAUUAUUUACAUAAAUAAUGUUAUUUAGCUAACAAUAAAAUUUUUUUUCAUGCAUCUGUAUCUUAUCUCCUUUGCUAUAUUAGAGCAAUUUUAGAAAAGACUGGGUCAUUUUUUGUGACAUUCUUAUUUCUUAAUACAGUGAUUCACACAGAUUUGGUACUUUGUUAAUAAAAAUAUUAUAGAUAUGGAAUCCAUUAAUAAAGUAGUAUAAAAUACUCCAGUGCCGCCUAGUUGUUCAUUCAUUUUAAAAAAUCUUUUAAUGCAAUUUCCUUAUUCUGCUUUCAAAUAUCUAUGCCCUUUUAUAAAUUUAGGCCUUUGAACUUUGGCUAAAUAAACCAAGCUAUCAUUGUGUUUUGCAGCUAUUAAAUAAACAUUUCUUCGGUUUCUCCCAAAUCUUUGCGAUAUUUAUAAAAAGCCUGUCUCUUAAGUGAUUUUAGUCCUUUUUUUUAGAAGUUAUGGUAUCAUAUUAUUUCAGUUACCACUAUACACUUCAAACAUUGGUCUCCAUUUAGAGUACUGAAUUCAUAUUAUGUACUUUAAAAAAUGAGCUUAUGUCUUAAAAUAGUAUAUGACUUCAAUAUGAUCACACAACUAAAACUAGGAUUAAAGUCUAGCUUUCAGAAACACCUGUUACUUAUUCUCAGUUUCUUUUAACUCAGGCGGGAGAACAUGGUGAACUUUUAAUUUUUGCUCUUUUAUUUUUACUAUUUUAGGGGUUUUUUUACUAUUAUAUUUUUCUUCUAUGUAAUUUUGCUAUUUUCAUUUCUCAGUAGAAUUGACAAAUUUAAUUUUUAUUUGAAUGAAAAUAAAAAGUUACUUUGGACAUUACAUUGAAAGUAAAAUUAAAUGUAUAUGCUACCUCAAUAGUAGGGCAGAAUUAUAGAUUAUAGCUCAAUAUAUCUUAGUCUUAUCUUUUAUGUUUUCAUUUAAAAGAUUAUUCUAGAGUAGAUUUCAUUAGGAGGAAUACAUUUUAGGAAUUGUCAGAAUUGUUGGUUAUCUCCUUUCUACUCAGUUCAUAUCUCUCAUUUAGCUAUAUAAGAAUUAAAAUUUUUAUUGGCAAAUCCAUGUUCCAAGUUGUAUGGGGAAUUUUUACUGCAAGGAGUGAGAAGUUAAUUAUAAUUAAUUCAUUUUUAUUAUCUAAACUUUGAUUAAUUCUCAGAAAUAUUUGAGGUUAUUGUGGGAGUCUGAUUUGAGAAUCUGAAGAAUUAACUUGGGAGGGAGGGUAUCAAUGACCACCAAGCUACAGGAUUAAAUUCAAAGUGAUGUAAUGAAAGCAUUGUAAUAUAUUUUGACACAACUCAUUCAUUUGAUAUAUUGUUUAUCCUAUCUAUGUAUUUCAGAAGGUCACAGCCAUGAACUUUGAAUAUCCUUUUUAAAAAUCUCUAAUAAUCGAAGUGAAAUUAAUUGUGAUGUGAAAUAAUAAAAUUGUAAAAAAUUACUACAGCUUGCAGAUUAUUCAUUGCUACUGAGCUUUGAGUCUUUACUAAAAGUUGAUAUGUUGCUAGCCAUCUCCUUGGACAGAAUAAUGUGUGUUUUAGAAAAAUUAUCCAAUGUAUCUUAUGAUAAAAUCCAGAAGAUCUUUUCAGUAGAAUUAAUAAAUAUUGCUUAGAUUUAUUUUUAACAAAGCAAUGGUUAUCAAGACUUAUCUAGCUAAGUACAAUAACAACAAUAGGGAGGGAAUCAUAAUCUCUCUCAUUACCUGCUUCUGUAAUUGUGCAUGCAUAAAGUAUGCUUGAAGCCUUUGAAAGGAGAGAUUGUGCAAGUUGAAUACUAAUUUCGUGAGUACUGUAAUUUCACAUUUGUUAUCCACGUUCAAGCUGGUCGUGCUUUGAGGAGCAGCUGAAGCUUUAUGGAAAACUUUAUAAAACAUUCCAUUUAGAAGCAAUUCUUUUUCUUUGCAUUAUGUGCUCUGGGUAUUUUUCUUCCUUUGUGUUUUAUUUUGGGAACAUUUGUAUGAAAACAAGAUCUUUGUUUCUUCCAAGCACAUCUGCUCUUGCUGCUUAUAGAUUAGGAGAAGUCAUCAUCCUCUGUGACAUCAUAAGUAUUUCCAUGGCAACCCAUUUGGCUUGCCUUUUUUUUUUUUUUUAAUGUAAUAAAAAGUUACAGAAUGCCAGUAGCAGCAAAGUGUUUAUCUCAAAACAGAUACAUAAUAACGUCCCAGUUUUCUGCACCCGCUGCCUGUGGCCUAUUCAUUGCAAGGUUUAAAGCUUUAGUCUCUUGCAUUUAAUUCCUUUAAAAUCCAUGAGACUGUCAAUUCCAAUUAUCCACAAUUUAGUGAAAGAAUAGGAUGCUUGAGGAAAUCAUAUUCUGAGUGAUCAACUGAAUUGUACGUGGCAUGGCUGGUGUUAGUUCAAUGAGGGAGGAAUUAUAGGAGAUUUUGGUGUUUAAUGUUCUACAGCAAAUAAUAACAUAUAGAUUUGAAUGACAGGUGGAAGGAUCUUGAAGCUCUUUACUUGAAAUCAUUUAAUGAACAAUCUCUACAUCCACUCAGCCACUUCAGAGCUGUCACUGCCAUGAUAAAAUGUGACUAUGAGAGACCUCAGAACAUAAUUAUUUGGGUAGCGAGCCAAGGCUACUAAAGAGGACUGGAACUAGCAACAGACUUCGUGGCACAUUCUACCACAUCAGUGUUUGUCAAAAUUAUGAAGUUUUAGUCACAAUAACCAAGCAAUUGAAAAAAGAAAUUAUUGAGUAUUUGCUAUGGGCAUAGCAUAUUUAAGGUAGUACACAUAUGAUCCCUGACCUCCCAAGCCUUUAUUUGAGAUUAAUGUCUGAUUGUUAUUAUCAUCUUUUAUUUCUAGCACUACUUAAAUAGUUUUGAAUUAAGUCCUUUUCCCUUUUGUUUAAAUGGUCCCAUUUUAUUUUUAAAAGUGUAUAUGUUUGAUUAGAACUACAUUAGUUAAAGAUAGGUGGUGAGCUGAGCCCAAAUGAGCUGUUCUGUGUUGAAUACUAAGGAAAUUUGGAGAGAGCGGGCUCAGAGGCAGCUGCUGGCUGGGUGCGCUUGGAUUCAGAAUGGCAGCAGUAAGAUACAUGAUCCUGCCCCUGGGUAUGAAGCAAGCGUCAGUUAUACUGGUAUCAAACACACAAAAUCGUGAGUCUGAAGAUAGAUCGGGAAUGAGAAGAUGGGCACAAGAGGCAGAGGCAGGGCAGGUGUUGGACAAAAGUCAUCAUGGCAGGUAAAUGGUAGAGUCUAAGCAGAGGGGUGGGUAAUACUGGAGAGGUCCAAGAGUAUGAAUCAGGGACCCACUCAGGCAAGACUGAGCUCAGACAUAGGAAAGCCAGUUCUGUGUCACCAGGGCACAAGACAGGAACCAAUGAAGAGAGUCUAAAGUGUUAAAUGUCCCAAUGAGUGAGAACAGUUUUUGCAUUUAUUUAUUUAUUCACCUGUUCAGUGACAAACACUCCAUUAGACAAAGACAUGAAUAAAACAUGCAAAGUUGACCUUAGGAAACACAUUAGACUAGAUGAAACAGACAAUGAAAAAUUAAGCAAAUAAAUAUACAAUUAAAGUCUGUAUUACAUGUUAGGGAGGAAAUAAACAGGUGUCAUAAAGGAAUAAAGAAGUCAGGGUGGAGGGGUGCUACUUAUAUGUUUCUGAAGGUCUCUCAGAAAACAUAUAUAAUGUUGAUUUUUUUUUAAAUCUUCUUGACCCUUUCCUUCACCCCCCACUUCCAUGACCUACCAACUUUAAAACUGUAGCUGUUUAGAAGUUCCCAUCAUGGCUCAGUGCUAACAAACGCAACUAGUAUCCAUAAGGAUGCAGGUUCUAUCCCUGGCCUUGCUCAGUGGGUUAAAGAUCUGCAUUGCCAUGAGCUGUGGUGUAGGUCACAGACACGGCUCGGAUCUGGCGUUUUUGUAUCUAUGGUGUAGGCCAGCAGCUGCAUCUCUAAUUCAACCCCUAGCCUGGGAACUUCCAUAUGUUGCAAGUGCAAC
rnacentral:lncRNA from 1 species